rnacentral:rRNA from 1 species
AGUUCGAUCCUGGCUCAGAUUAAUCGCUGGCGGGAUGCUUUACACAUGUAAGUCGAACGGCAGCACGGACUUCGGUCUGGUGGCGAGUGGCGAACGGGUGAGUAAUGUAUCGGAACGUGCCUAGUAGCGGGGAUAACUACGCGAAAGCGUAGCUAAUACCGCAUACGCCCUUCGGGGGAAAGCGGGGACCUUCGGGCCUCGCACUAUUAGAGCGGCCGAUAUCGGAUUAGCUAGUUGGUGGGGCAACGGCUCACCAAGGCGACGAUCCGUAGCUGGUUUGAGAGGACGACCAGCCACACUGGGACUGAGACACGGCCCAGACUUACGGAGGCAGCAGUGGGGAAUUUUGGACAAUGGGGAAACCCUUGAUCCAGCCAUCCUGCGUGUGCGAUGAAGGCCUUCGGUUGUAAAGCACUUUUGGCAGGAAGUAAGAAAACGGCACGGAUAAUACCCCGUGCAACUGACGGUACCUGCAGAAUAUGACCCGGCUAACUACGCGCUGCCAGCAGCCGCGGUAAUACGUAGGGUGCAAGCGUUAAUCGGAAUUACUGGGCGUAAAGCGUGCGCAGGCGGUUCGGAAAGAAAGAUGUGAAAUCCCAGAGCUUAACUUUUGAACUGCAUUUUUAACUACCGAGCUAGAGUGUGUCAGAGGGAGGUGGAAUUCCGCGUGUAGCAGUAAUGCGCAGAUAUGCGGAGGAACACCGAUGGCGAAGGCAGCCUCCUGGGGAUAACACUGACGCUCAUGCACGAAAGCGUGGGGAGCAAACAGGAUUAGAUACCCUGGUAGUCCACGCCCUAAACGAUGUCAACUAGCUGUUGGGGCCUUCGCCUUGGUAGCGCAGUUAACGCGUGAAGUUGACCGCCUGGGGAGUACGGUCGCAAGAUUAAAACUCAAAGGAAUUGACGGGGACCCGCACAAGCGGUGGAUGAUGUGGAUUAAUUCGAUGCACCAUGAAAACCUUACCUACCCUUGACAUGUCUGGAAUCCCGGAAGAUUUGGGAGUGCUCGCAAGAGAACCGGAACACAGUGCUGCAUGGCUGUCGUCGUGCUCGUGUCGUGAGAUGUUGGGUUGUCCCGCAACGAGCGCAACCCUUGUCAUUAGUUGCUACGAAAGGGCACUCUAAUGAGACUGCCGGUGACAAACCGGAGGAAGGUGGGGAUGACGUCAAGUCCUCAUGGCCCUUAUGGGUAGGGCUUCACACGUCAUACAAUGGUCGGGACAGAGGGUCGCCAACCCGCGAGGGGGAGCCAAUCCCAGAAACCCGAUCGUAGUCCGGAUCGCAGUCUGCAACUCGGAUCGCGUGAAGUCGGAAUCGCUAGUAAUCGCGGAUCAGCAUGUCGCGGUGAAUACGUUCCCCGGUCUUGUACACACCGCCCGUCACACCAUGGGGAGUGGGUUUUACCAGAAGUAGUUAGCCUAAACUGUAAGGAGGGCGAUUACCACGGUAGGAUUCAUGACUGGGGUGAAGUCGUAACAAGGU